rnacentral:lncRNA from 1 species
GCAGGGCAACUGCAAAUUUAGAUCACGCCAUCUCAGAGCCUCAGGGACCUUGUUGGGCGACGCACAUUGGAAUUUGGAAUUGGAUGCAUGUACGACUUGAUGUGGCGUUGCAUGUGGAACGCCCCGUCAGUAUUGUUUGCAGACUGGUCAUUUGAUGAUACAUUUUCACAGUGGUAGUGCUUGGGUGCCUCAAGAGGGAAUCGCUGAGCAUAGCCACCCAUAGACCUAAAAGUCAUAGAAGAUUUUUAAAACUGUUAUUUGAUUUUGUGUUGUUUCAGCAGUAGUAUGUUCUUCAACAAUUUGUUAUGUCCAACCAUGGAAUGAGUCGCAUGUGACUAAGUCAACCAAACGGGGCAACAACAAUUAGACAGCAAUGAAAUUAGUCAGUGGAAAACAACACAUUCAUUCCUGAGCUAACGGAAGGAUUCCUCUUUUUCACAGAAAUUUUACCAUUUUCAUCUUAACUGCUUGCCGGUGGAUUGUCACUUGGCAUUAUUUGAAUGCAGGAAAAGGUUGUGAGAGUAGCAGAAGAAGAGGAAAUUGCAGUAAACCUGGUUUUGAAAGAAGCCAAACAUUCUUAUGAUAUUGGAGCUCAGCCUGUGGAAACAAAAAUGGGCUGAAAACACAAAAAAACCCCAUGUUUCAAAUAGAAAGACUCGUUGAGAAGGUUGUGAAAAGGUUGUGAGAGUAGCAGAAGAAGAAAAUUGCAGUAAACCCGGUUUUGAAAGAAGCCAAACAUUCCGAUGAUAUGGGAGCUCAGCCCGUGGAAACGAAAACCCUAUGUUUCAGAUAGAAAGACAAAAGAAACACAUCGUUCCUCAGCUACAUCUGAGGACUACUCUCACCGAAAGAAAAUCACCUCGCUUAUAGACUCGGAAGGUGAAAGCGAGACCCACAAAUUUGCAACAACGAAGCAAGUAAGAAGUAUUUUGGCAGAUUAUCGUGCACGCAAAGCUAAAUAGUCAAUUAAAUAAAAUUUUCUUAACACAUUUUACAUGACCAUUCGUUUAAAACGAUAUGUCCUCCACUGCUAGUUACAGAAGACAAUUUGUAAAUACGUCACAACAUGCCCAUAAAAAUUCUACGGAGUUAGUUAUUUCUCCCCUAGAUGUCUUGAAAAUAUACUGGAAAUGUCAGCUGUCCCGUCGGCUGUUCUAUUUCGCGUGGCCUCGGACUGAGGAUGGUUGCUGAAACGAACGUCUCUAUUUUUGAAAUUUUACCACCGAUUCCGUGUGUUUUCAGUUGCAUCAUGUGAAUUCCAUCAAUGCAGAGUUGUUCAAGGAGGAACAUGGCUUGGCUUUGCCAUCACGUUUUUCAUCUCCGUUAGUUUGAUAUACCCAUUUUGUUUCAAAGAUCUUUGGGAUGUACCUGAUGUACUGUGGUGGCCGCAAAAUCAUUCAAUGACUUGGUUCAAUCCAGGUCUUAGUUUUUUCAAUAGUGGUUUACAGUUUUAAUUUGCAGAGAUCCUGGAUGACCUGAUGUGUUUCAUUGGUGUUGGAGUCACUCGGUGACAGAAGAGAAUGCCACUAAUGUUAUGUUGUCAGUGUAAAUAAAUCAUAUCCAGUAUCA